rnacentral:rRNA from 1 species
GUGCCAGCAGCCGCGGUAAUACGUAGGUGGCAAGCGUUAUCCGGAAUUAUUGGGCGUAAAGCGCGCGCAGGUGGUUUCUUAAGUCUGAUGUGAAAGCCCACGGCUCAACCGUGGAGGGUCAUUGGAAACUGGGAGACUUGAGUGCAGAAGAGGAAAGUGGAAUUCCAUGUGUAGCGGUGAAAUGCGUAGAGAUAUGGAGGAACACCAGUGGCGAAGGCGACUUUCUGGUCUGUAACUGACGCUGAGGCUCGAAAGCGUGGGGAGCAAACAGGAUUAGAACCCCCCGUAGUCC